rnacentral:miRNA from 1 species
UAUUAGGUUGGUGCAAAAGUAAUUGCGGUUUUUGCCAUUACUCUCACUUGCAAAAAAAACACAAUUACUUUUGCACCAACCUAAUA